GCAGCACCGUGACCGACUAUUUAUAGAGGCCUACUCACGUCGAUCGUCGGCUGUGUGACAUUUGUGUGCUUGAAGCCUCGUAGCUCCGUGCACCGUGCAUUUAUUUUAAUACGCACUCAGUUGUACGAAGAUCGAACGGUGAAAAAGUAUCUAUCUAUUCAAGUUUGACGUGACGUCAAUUUACUUCGUCGUGUCGUGUUGUGUAUGUUGAGAUUCAAUUGUGGGACAGCAGUGGUUUGUCAUUAUACACUUGUGAAAGUUUCAAAGCUGCAAUUAGGAACAGCAGCAAUUCCCAAAUUACUUAAUUUCGAUCACUUGACUUUCAAUUUAGUCGACAUUUAUCAUUGAUUUACCUAACGCGGACAUCAUCUGGAGAGAAGAGGCGUGAAAGAGAGAGGUGUGUUGGCGAGGAUGAAGAACGAUGGUUAUGCGACGCUGCGAGACACAAGCGGAUCCUUUCAGAAGCGACAGUGUUUAUCGACGUAAUAUUUGCUCGGUGUGCCCGCUCGCGCGCCACAGACGAGGCGUACGGUGAAAUUUGUUUAAUUUGCCGCGCGUGUUAAUUUAAUAUAAUUUUUCGCGCAAACGUGGCGCAACAGCGCGCGAUCCGCUCGGAGGACGGGUUUGAAAAGGCUCCCUGUAUACACGUUUGAAAUACGUUUGCGAUGCACGCUUUCGUUUCGUAAUCGACGUGUUACAACGUGCACGCCUACUGUCCAUAGAAAAUUAAGAAAAAUUUCGUUAGGUUUCUCAACUUUAAGAAUGUUUUUCUUUAUUCCCUGCAGUGUGUUGGGUCCAAAAUCGAAACUAACGUCUGCUCAAUUGAGACUAAGCGAGAAAUAUACAGGGUGAUUCACGUAACUCGCAUACCACAACUAAAUUACGCGUACAAUGAAAAAUUGUUUAAUACAGAAGUUGUAUAGUUUUAAGGGAGGAAAAAUAGGGCGUAUCAAUUUUUUGUGUGUGUUAAGAGGUUUCGAAAUUUAUUUUUUUCUUUAAUUGGACCAUAUAUUUCUCUCAUCACAGACCGAAAGAAUAGAAUAUUGAAUUCCAACUAAAAAAGUGUCAAGUCACAUUUGUCCUAAACCUAAUGGUUAACGAGAUAUUUCACGAUAAUUUGUCUCGAGGAUGAAAACUGCAUUUGCUUGCAAUAAUUUAUAAAUUCCAUUUGUAUUUAUCGUUCAAGUAGAUCGUAAAUUUGUGUACGUGAACUUUUACACGAGGUCUCGUAACGAUCGAACGAAGUUUUUUUUUCAGCUGGUUUGAAGAUUUUUCUGAACUUUGUUAUUCCUGUUCUGGUAGUUUCGCGCGUCGCGUUUCUGCGGAAAUCAACAUUGUGCAUUGUAAGGUGUCUGUGUAAAGUUGUUUCUUUCAAAUAUAUACUUGUGGCAACAA